rnacentral:lncRNA from 1 species
UAAAUAACUUUGAAUCACAAUUUCACAAUCAAUUACACCAACAAUCAUAACUUUACAAUACAAUAUCAUAUCCCGAUUAUUAUAUUAAUAAAACAUAUUUCCCCGCGAUUUCCGCUCGAUCGCGGAUUCUAAUCCGAAAAUUAGUUUCCAGAUAAUUGUAUCUAGUGUCGCCAUUGAACAUAAAUGCACUAGAUAUCCCUUCCCAAAUUCCAUUAACUGUUCUACGCCCAUCUCGGGACGUAAUAUACGAGUAUGUGUACGAAUAAAUCAAGUAGAUGUGAACCUAAUCUGUGAGAAUAUAUUCAGAAGUCAUUAUGGAUCCUGAUUUGUUGUUAUUAAUAAUAUGGAAGCGAUGGCAAAAGUGGAAGAUGAAACAAUCUCAACAACAGAAAAUUAGACGAUAUAAUAUUUUAAAAUUGUUUGGAAUAUGGAAAUUGAUGAUUCAGCGUAACAAUAAUAGCGUAAACAACAUAAAGUAAAUACGCGAAAUUUGAUGUUCAAGUGAAACGAUGUGAUUGAUCGGCGCAAGUUACGCCGCAUGUGAUGACAUCCUUAGAUUUUCACCGGUGGUCAUCUCAUGGUUUCACCGUUUGUCAUUUUCACUGCGAUCAUGCAGCGAAAGAAAUUAUUAGUGACAUAACUAGAAGUAGUGAAGAUCUAUUCACAUUAAAAUAUCCCAAAAACUACACUGAAGGAAACUUCACGACUUGUCUGUAUUUCAAACAAACAGGAGUGUAAGAGGUAAACCAGCUUUGAGAGCUAAGCCCGCUUGAAGAUGUUCAAAGUGAUGAGCUGCAAUUCAUCGAAGAGUCGUUAAAUGAGUCUGCACCUAAGGAGUCUACACAUCAAAUUUGGCAGGAAAAAAACGUUCUUUAAUCAUAGAAAUUAUAAAUCACAAUUUAUAAAUCACAAUUCAGGUAACGAAGCUGAUAAAGAGAACAUAAAUGGCAGAAAUGAUCUUGAAAUGUGAUAUUAGAUAAUAUCUAGAAGAAUAGAUUUCUAAUGGAGGGGAUAAUAAAAGGGAUUUUAAUCAAUACCAAU